AUAGUUUGAUCCUGGCUCAGAUUGAACGCUGGCGGCAUGCCUAACACAUGCAAGUCGAACGGAAACGAUGGGAGCUUGCUCCCAGGCGUCGAGUGGCGGACGGGUGAGUAAUACUUAGGAAUCUACCCAGUAGCGGGGGACAACUCGAGGAAACUCGAGCUAAUACCGCAUACGCCCUACGGGGGAAAGCAGGGGAUCUUCGGACCUUGCACUAUUGGAUGAGCCUAAGUCGGAUUAGCUUGUUGGUGAGGUAAAGGCUCACCAAGGCGACGAUCCGUAGCUGGUCUGAGAGGACGAUCAGCCACACUGGGACUGAGACACGGCCCAGACUCCUACGGGAGGCAGCAGUGGGGAAUAUUGGACAAUGGGGGCAACCCUGAUCCAGCAAUGCCGCGUGUGUGAAGAAGGCCUGCGGGUUGUAAAGCACUUUCAGUAGAGAAGAAAAGCCCACGGCUAAUACCCGUGAGUCUUGACGUUACCUACAGAAGAAGCUCCGGCUAACUCCGUGCCAGCAGCCGCGGUAAUACGGAGGGAGCGAGCGUUAAUCGGAAUUACUGGGCGUAAAGCGCGCGUAGGCGGCUUUGUAAGUCGGAUGUGAAAGCCCUGGGCUCAACCUGGGAAUGGCAUUCGAUACUGCAGAGCUAGAGUAUGGUAGAGGGAAGUGGAAUUUCCGGUGUAGCGGUGAAAUGCGUAGAUAUC
rnacentral:rRNA from 1 species